CCUCGUUACUUCGAAUUCGCUUACAAAUUCCCAUUUGAAAUGGGAUUCGUGGGUCUGAACGACCCAGGCCCUUCCCACAUUCUUAAAGCACUCAAUAUAAACUUGGAAACGAAUGAAUUACUUGGAUUGAGUCUCGUCGAAUAAUUUUCUAGAAAUUUAUCGAUUACGAUAGUAAAAAUGUUCCUUUUUUACCUCUCCAGAGUUUAAAAUAUUGCUGAUGUCUUCGAGGAAACUUUCUUCCUUCAGCUGAGUAUCAGCGAAUAGAAAAGUCGAGUGUAAAUCCGUAGCGGUUGUUCUUUUCAGAAUGGAUUUAACGUCCUCCCGCCAUUCGUGCAUUUCGUAGUGUUUCGUUAUUUCAACCUGGAAAAGAUCGUAUUCGCAAAUGUGGGACGCUAAUCUCGUCAAUGAUUGUCUUCCUGAGCCACCGACACCGACGAGAAGCGCGUGGCUUCUCGGCUGCUUUAUUAUUCUCGAUAUUUUCGACAAGUGCUCCAGAGCGAAUCUGAACAAGACGAGAUUCAUCGGCUUCUUCGUCAUCGAAUUGUACUCCACGAGGUAGCCUUCUACGAUUAUCCGCAGUGCUUCGAGGUCCGCGAUCUCUUGAUACAGACGAACGUCGGCUUUGGGAUCGGCGAAGUCGCAAUAAACCAGUUUUCUUAACUGGGUAUCGCCAAUCUGUGGAAUUAGAAUCUCAUUGAUUGACUAUCGCUUCGUCCGAUCGGGAUACCAACUUUCGAGGGUUCGACAAAGUCCUGAAACGGAUGAGCCAACCUCGAAAUGAGUUUCGCGAUUGAAUCAAACGUUUCGGAAAUGUCUAGCCGAGAAAAACGUGCAAUUUAUUAUCUCGUUGCAGUACCAGCCAGUUGACGUCAGCCUCGUCGGCCAGGCGAUCGCUGAAAACUCGAAGAAUUUCGUGGACCCAAAGCCUCUUCAUGCUGGCAAGAGUCGGCAUCGAUUCCGGUACGGAGAGCAAGACCCCCUGAAAAAGACUCGAUGAGAAGACCUCCGAAGAACAUCAUGCAACUGGACCCACCUGAAUAACGCGAGAAAAAUCGCGGAGGUUGAAAAGAUAGUGGGACUUUUCGGGCGUGGGCAGAAGAUUCCGGAGACUCGAUUUGUAAACGUCGAGGGUCGCGAGCACAACCUGGUCGAUGCAGGGGUCAAAUUCUUUGCUGAAUCCUCUGGAAAAGCGUGGAAAAAAACAUGAAAAAAAUGAUCAUGGAAGCCCCCCGAGCUCGCAUUCGUGAAAAUAUGGCGAUUCCGGGACUUCGGUUGGUCAAAAACUCGGAGAAACGAGCCUGAGAAUGACGCACCUGGUGUCGAGAUGCCAGAGGACGAUUUUGCUGAAAAUCGUAAUCAUAACUUUGUCCUCGAACUCUGCGAUCGUCAGAGUGAAAAAGUGUCGCUUAAAUCGCUGCGUAACGUCUUUCCCACCGCUGAGAGGCGGCCCCAUAGCGCACAUCAGCUGGAUCUCGAUGAGUUUGAUGGGAACGACUUCCUUGUGGUCGUACCACUGCCAGUGAUCGAGAAGUUGUCUGAGGAGUUCAACAGGCGGUUGGGCGCCUCGAACACGAGACCGUCCUUGGGCAUGACGAAGAUGUACGGUUUCGCCGGCGGGUUCACCGGCUCCGGAAGCUCGUACAACUCGAUCAACCGUGCUGGAAAUUCUUUCUCGAGGAGCCCCCGGAACAGGAUGCUGAACUUUUCUCUGUCUGGUGCUUCGAGGGUUCCGCCCAUGCCCCAAAUGCAGGAGAAGAAGAAUGAGCCCUGAAAAUCACAGUAUUCGUUAGCUUCGCCUCGUGGAAGAAGGAAGCAGAAAACAAGACGGGAAGGACGAAAGUGAACCUCGAUUUGGGCUCGGAGAUCAAUUUCGUUGACGCUUGUGCCGGCUUUCAAUUCGCGGUAUUCGUUGAUGAAACAAUCCAUGAGGGUUUACCAGGGAUUUUUUCAAAGGAGGAAACUCGACUCACCGCACCGAGAGACGGUGGCAGGCGACGCGGCUUCGAGGUCCAUAGGCUCGAAGAUCAAAUUGGUCGUUUUGGCGAGUUGAAUGAUUUCUCCGCUCAUGAGACAAAGUUUUUUGUUGUCGUCGAGAACGGUGUUCAUAUUUUCGAUCCACACUGCGUCGAUCGGGCCAUCGAAUACGAGCCACUUGCGGCUUUCGUUGGUGGAGGUGGCAAAAGCUCGAUAACUUACAGCGAGGACACCAUCGCUCCAUUCGUGCGAGGCCGGAUCGAACUGACCGUACAAUUGGCCGAUUGUGAUGGAUUUCGGAUUGAUCACUGUUAUUUCGACCUUGUGCUCGUUCAUCAAAUUCUGGAAGGAAAUUUUCGCCGGUUUUUUCAACGCUUUCGAUGCUGAAGCGAAGUAAAAUCAGAAUAAAGUUUCUGGCGACCAACAUUUUCCUCGCACAACUCGAGAGCUGCUGCCAGCAUUCGAUACGCUGACGUUUUUCCACCGAAUGGAAAACCGACUAUCAUGAAACCGUGUCUGACGAUCAUCAUUUCAUAGAUUUGUUGAAUUUUCUCGAGGAAUGAUGGCACGCAUUGCAUGUUCGCCUCCGAACAUGCUUGGUGAACCGAUUUGUUGAGAUCUGUAUAAUCGGGCUCUGGAAGAACGACGUUUGGAAAAAGAUCCGAAGCUAUACCCUGUGGAGGAACGUAUCAUGGUUUCAAAGCCUCCGAGAACGAAUGAUUUUUUAACAUUUUUAAUGAAAAUUUCAUAAGAGUACGCGCCAGUCGGCGUCUCGUGAUCGUGACGCGAGAGAAAGAAACGUGCAAAUGUCAAAAGCGAAUUUUUUCGACGAUUCGACCGAUCACAAGGAAGCUCUGGCAGUUCUUUUUUGGCAUCGUCCUGCUGCACGAGCUUUUUUGUGAUCGGUCGGUAACUGGUGAUCGAGGUGAUAUUGGUUCCUUUAUAUGUUGGAACGAAAACUUGCAUGAAACAAUGGCAGAUCGUGGCUCAAGAAUUUGGGCAAAUUGACGUCUUUGAUGCUCCUCAAAAUCAAAAUAUCCUCGUUCUCCGUUGGAUACUUGAGCUUCAAGUUUCCUGCUGCUAUCAGAACAGAUUUGACGGCUCUCAUACCAUAAUCGUAAUGACUCUGACUCGACAGCUGUUCCGAACACAGUCGAUACGCCAUCACUAUUUUAACGGAGAGUGGUCGAGCCGUAUUUCAUUGGAUGGAGACAGAAAACAUGUUUUUCCGCUUCGAAUCAUCAGAACGUGACGAAUUGAUCGAUCGAUGUGAAAGUGUUAAAACGACCGUUUGGCGAGGCUCACCAUCAUGGCGACAGGCCGAAAGAGAGCUUUGAGGUUGUCCGGUAACUCCGAACGUCCUGCAUACCCGGGAUUCAUGGUGAUGAAUACCGCGCAAGUUGGAUCCAAAACGAGCUCUGUACCUUCGAAAACGAGAGUCUGUUUUCCGGAAUUUAUGGCACGUUGAAUUCUUCCUCGACGAACGCUGUCAGCUCCAUCAGCUCUGCAGUAUUGGACGGAACGCUGAGAGCCCUGUCUGCCAUGUUCUGAUACUCUUCUCCGAUCCUUGAUGAGAAAAAUCGUGGAACAGGAAACUGAGUUAGAUUCUGAGGCCCGAAUCCGCCUCAGGCUUUGAAGAGACGUUGGAAAAUUGAUGAACGAUUGGGAAUUCAAAUGCCGAAGGAAAGUUAUAGUACAGAAAAAAUUCCAUUAAACAAUUGUGAAGCGAAAUCGUGAGAGGCAUACGUUUACUUUUUCGAUUUGUUCUGGUAGUCGAGGAUCAUCCUUUCGACGAGUUCGUCCCUCAGAGCGUCGUAUUUCUCGAUGAGUUCUGCGUAACUUUCGAAAGUGUGAGGUGGAUCGGCGUCCAGGAACGACGCGACGCGUUCGUUCUCGACGUCGUUGACGAGGCUCAUCAGUUCGUCGAACUCCUGGAGCUGCAACUCCGGACCGAUUCUUUGCUCUUGAAUGAACUCCGCGAUGUCGUACUUGUACACCUUGAUCAUCUCUCCCGAUAUCACCGGCUGACAAACAAAGUUAUUCGUCGAAAGUUUAAAUCAGCGAAAGCCUCCGGGCUCCCAUCUCGACGCGAUGCUUUUCGUACCUUCAGCACCGCUUGCUCCGAUUCUUCUCUCUCGUACAGAUUCGUCUCGAUCCUAGUGAAUCCGGAAACUGCACGGUGGAGCGUGCUCAGCAGAGAUAAACUAAACACAAACUCCGCAACUGGCUUUCCAUGAUGAUCGCGAGGCAGUUCCAGAACCGCUGCAUCUGCGAUUCGUCCUCGAGACCUGGCAAAAUUCCCUUUUUUCUGCCCUGCCAAAGUGCAAACGUCAUGUGUCAAGGACAUUGGUGAAUAAAAUGGAGGAGAGUGCGACGAUUUUUCUACCUGAAUUCCCGAUGCCAAAGAUCCAAAGUUUUACGAAUGCAAGGAUGAUACAAAAUAAGAUUUUUCUUCAAUUGGACUUUGAUUCUUCUGUACUUGACUGUAUAUUCUGGUGGGAAAUGUUUGAUUUCAAAGUUCUCUUUGGAAAUGGAAGCUUCGGGAUCGCUGGGAUCGUCGACUUUCAACGGGUCCUGGAGUACGAAGUCGACGAUCGACUUUUUGAUGCUCGAGGCGUAAUCUUGCCGGGCGUCGCUGAUGACCUGAUUGAGUUUCGGCUUGAACUUGAUUCUCCAGUUUGCGGGAGAUCGACAGCGUCCUCGAAGACCGCUUCGUCCUCGCCGUCCUUGGUCAUCAGCAUUCUCACGAGAUGCUGACGAAACUCCUCCCGCUUUUGCUUCGUAACGAUGUACGAAUUCAACUCGAAGAAGGACUCCUUUUCUCGACGGGAUUUCGUCGGCAAUGGCUUUCUCGAUCUACCGAACAAUGGAAUUCGAUCGUGAAAUCAGCGCUCAUGAGAAAAUGCAAUGAAUUUAUGUUUUCGAGCCAAUUUUUACCGAAGGUUGAAAAAAGCUUAGUUUCUCUAGAGCGCGGUUUAUCGAAAAGCUUAAAAUAAAAGAAACGACUGUAAAAAAUGGGAGGAUCGUUGACGAGAAAAGCCGGGAUUCUUACCUCCCGAAGCUGCUCGAGUCCCAGAGCAUGGUUCGCGCCAAUUCGGAGCUGUCGUUUCUCUCAAACGGACAAACGAUUCGUUGUUCCUCGCAGACUUUGCAAUUUCGAUAUUUUUUAACAGUUUUAUCAUCGCGAGUGAGUUCGUCACCCGCAGCUUUUCGUUUCUCGGAUUUUCCACGAGAUUUCCCAAGCUCUUUAGAUCUGCGGGAGUGUCGUUCGCCGCUCUCCGAAUAUCGUUUCGCGGAUUCGUUCAUCGCGAAGGUUUCAGCGCUGAGGAAUGCGAGACGUAAAUCUCGAGCGAAUUGUGCCAAAAGUCUCUCGAUACCGAGGCGCGCGUUUGACUGACUUGCGUUGACGUUUAUUUGACAGCUAAAUUACACGUCUGGCGAGCACGUGAACGCAUCGACUCUUAUCACCGUGAAGGUUGAACGGGCGGCGAGUCUCAGCAAACACGAGCCCCGGACGACACGAGUAACUAUAACAACCUCCAACGCGUUGCCAAGAUACCCUCGUGGGAUUGGGGGCUCUCAGAAUCGAGGCGAGACGACGUCCUCGUCCUCGAAAUUCCCAAAUCAAUAUUUCUCGCGAGCCUCCACCUGACACAGGGAGAUUCACUCGAACCGCUUCGAAGCCUCCGAUACGAGGGACUUUAAUCACUGACGUUUCUCGAGAGCACCAACUACAAGCGUGCUCUCCACGAGAGUAUCAAACUUUUCACAAAUCUUCGCUCCUUCUUCCUUCUCACCAUUUUCAUCGGAGCUUCGAGAAUCAAUCGAUCUAACGAGUGGACUAAAACUUGUACGAAAGGAAGUAACGACCAAGCAGGCAUUUCAAUCUU